AGCCACAAUGCUGAUUUUAAGAUGCAGGAUGUCCAGCUGUGCCCUGGCAUGAAUACUCAGCCCUUGGAAGUGCUUUUGUGUGCUUGGUGGGGAACCGAGCAGGGACGUUACAGGGUGAGCCUCGCUGAUGUGACAGCAUCCAGCAUCCCCCAGCAGUGGAAUUCAGGAGAGGGCAAAGCUCAGAGGUCAUUUCCCAUCACUGACAGCCGUGCUUCUCAGGUUACAGCCCCACACGUCCUCGCAGGAACACAGAAU